rnacentral:lncRNA from 1 species
UCGCCAGCUUUUGUCUUCCGGGAAACGGUGGCUCUGACAGCACCGGUUUUGCCGGCUUUCGUCUCCGGGAAAGCGGUGGCUCUGGUAGCACCGUUCUUUCGCCGGCUUCUUCUCCGGUUUAAUCCGGAAUCAAGUUCUCGAUCUACGCUUUUGGUCUUCCUCUGUCCAAUCGACUCUCGAUCUGAAAAUCUGUUGAUUUUGGAUCGAUCGAAGAUGAUUGAUGUUCUUCUAAUCGUAGAUCGAGUUUUUUCGAGAUCUAUAGUUUCAUCGGUUUUGGGCUCCACGGUGGAGUUGAAUCG